UCUACCAGGUCACUUGAGUCCAGUUACUGUAGUGGACCACGGUACCCUCAUCAUCAACGACGCCCAAGUGACCAUCAUCAACGAUCUCGGUCUAAAACAAGAGAUAUCUGGCUCAUACCUUGUAACCUACUCUAGCAAGAAAAAUUUACAGCGGGUUCCUUCUUCAGCUACUUCUUUGCCCUACUUGCCUCCUUUCUAUUGUGCUCUACCGUUUGGAUAGGAUACAACGCUUUAAGGACCAGAGAACAAGGCAACCCAAGAACCAAUGGCGACGUAGAAUCAGCAGGUCACCGGGACGGCGACCACUUAAAAGAGGGAGGAGUUAGCACGCGCAGUUCCCAUGAGCAGAAUUUGCCGAGUUGCAAGCCAUAUCCGGUGGCCAACACGCGCAGCAAGGAAACUGCCGAAUCCACGAUUCAGGUGCCAUCGCCCCAUCGCCUGAUACCAGGUGCUGACCCGGCGCAUAAGCGGCAGCGCAGGGAACAUGCGCUCAGCGAAUGAUCGCCGGAUACCAAGUGCUGACCUGGCUUUUUGGUGACAGUGCUGCUAGCAGGCAAAGGCCUCAAGCUGUAGCCGGAUCAGAACCUUAAGUUAGUCUAAGUUUGGUACUCCGCAGCCAUAGCUGUGUUAAGGAAAACAUUUAUAAAUUUAUCUAACCCUUUGCCUAAACAGGCUUAGGAGUAAUAAAU